GAUGAACGCUGGCGGCGUGCCUAAUACAUGCAAGUCGAGCGAACGGACGAGAAGCUUGCUUCUCUGAUGUUAGCGGCGGACGGGUGAGUAACACGUGGAUAACCUACCUAUAAGACUGGGAUAACUUCGGGAAACCGGAGCUAAUACCGGAUAAUAUUUUGAACCGCAUGGUUCAAAAGUGAAAGACGGUCUUGCUGUCACUUAUAGAUGGAUCCGCGCUGCAUUAGCUAGUUGGUAAGGUAACGGCUUACCAAGGCAACGAUGCAUAGCCGACCUGAGAGGGUGAUCGGCCACACUGGGACUGAGACACGGUCCAGACUCCUACGGGAGGCAGCAGUAGGGAAUCUUCCGCAAUGGGCGAAAGCCUGACGGAGCCACGCCGCGUGAGUGAUGAAGGUCUUCGGACCGUAAAACUCUGUUAUUAGGGAAGAACAUAUGUGUAAGUAACUGUGCACAUCUUGACGGUACCUAAUCAGAAAGCCACGGCUAACUACGUG
rnacentral:rRNA from 1 species